rnacentral:lncRNA from 1 species
UAUUUUCUGAAACAAUGUUGCUUCCUACGGACAAAAACCAAAAUCCAAUAUAUUGCAGAAUGAACAACAACUGACAUGAUACUCGAACUACCAAACCAGAACUUGAACGAGAUACCAGCUGACCAGCAAGCUCGAAACCAAAGCGAUCUCCAUCAAACAUCAGUUAGAUUCCAUGGUUUCUGACAUCAAAAAUCAUAAGAAGGAACCAAACUUUAAACAAUAACAACUGAUGAAGUGAAGUCGCCGCCCAAAGCUAUGGAUGAAGCGAUGAGAGCGAGGGUGUACAACUGUUCUCGGCAAGUUUGGGUUGUCGCUGGGUGGUUGGAGAAGGGAUAGUAGCUCUAUGGAUUUAAAAUCGUUGGGUUACUUUUCAACUCCAAUUAUUGCCUCAUCUCUCUUUUUACGGCGGCUAGAUUUUCAAGUUUAUUUUUGUAAUCACUCUAUGAUAUCCUUUUUUUUCUCUACUGAGCCGAGGGUCGAUUGGAAACAGCCUCUCUGUCCGUUCGGGCAGGGGUAAGGCUCGUCUACAUAUUACCCUCCGCUAACCCCACCUGACGGGACUAUACUGGGUAGUUGUUGUUGUUGUUGUCUAUGAUCUCCUUUUUGUUGCUCCAAGUCGGGGGUAGGCGUUUUGUUGAAGAAGAAGAAGAGCGGUGGUUUUUUUACGCGUGAGUCUGUAGCAGGCGUCCUCUCUAGUGAGAAGCUGCGCAGCUGAAGCUUUUCAACGUUUUCCCCCUUUGCUUUGUAUUUUUAUUUUUGUCUUAUAUAGUUUAGGUUUUGUUUGUUUGUUUUUUAAUUAGGGUAAGGGCAAUGGAAUGGGCUUGGGUUAUAUGGACUUGGGUAGAAAGACUAUGGUUUGAGCUUGUUUUGGUUUUAAAAUGCCCAAUUGCUUAAAUUAAAAUCCUAUUUGCAAUUUAAUCCUAAUUAUUUUUUCUUUUCUAUUUAUUUAUUUUUUUAAACAAUCAUAGAAAUUAAAAUUUUAAUUAAUAUUUUCCUUUAGAAGCUAAAAUUCUUUAUGUAUAUAUAUAUAUAUAUAUAUAUAUAUAUAUUUUAAGCUUAACUGUCGAUUUGUAUUGAUAUCAAAAAAUAUACAAUGUAAUCCUAAGGUAGUAGUAUGGACUUCUACUACUCAUUUACACUUUCAUUCUAGUUACACUUGAAUNNNNNNNNNNNNNNNNNNNNNNNNNNNNNNNNNNNNNNNNNNNNNNNNNNNNNNNNNNNNNNNNNNNNNNNNNNNNNNNNNNNNNNNNNNNNNNNNNNNNNNNNNNNNNNNNNNNNNNNNNNNNNNNNNNNNNNNNNNNNNNNNNNNNNNNNNNNNNNNNNNNNNNNNNNNNNNNNNNNNNNNNNNNNNNNNNNNNNNNNNNNNNNNNNNNNNNNNNNNNNNNNNNNNNNNNNNNNNNNNNNNNNNNNNNNNNNNNNNNNNNNNNNNNNNNNNNNNNNNNNNNNNNNNNNNNNNNNNNNNNNNNNNNNNNNNNNNNNNNNNNNNNNNNNNNNNNNNNNNNNNNNNNNNNNNNNNNNNNNNNNNNNNNNNNNNNNNNNNNNNNNNNNNNNNNNNNNNNNNNNNNNNNNNNNNNNNNNNNNNNNNNNNNNNNNNNNNNNNNNNNNNNNNNNNNNNNNNNNNNNNNNNNNNNNNNNNNNNNNNNNNNNNNNNNNNNNNNNNNNNNNNNNNNNNNNNNNNNNNNNNNNNNNNNNNNNNNNNNNNNNNNNNNNNNNNNNNNNNNNNNNNNNNNNNNNNNNNNNNNNNNNNNNNNNNNNNNNNNNNNNNNNNNNNNNNNNNNNNNNNNNNNNNNNNNNNNNNNNNNNNNNNNNNNNNNNNNNNNNNNNNNNNNNNNNNNNNNNNNNNNACAGUGAAUCGAUGUCUAGGUAGAGCAGAUGACACAAGCAUUACAUUCCUCCAUACAAUCUUAGGAAAUAUAGGCAACAGUGCAAUAUAGAGUUUUUAACAACUACAUAACUUCAAACUAAAGAAAAAUGCUAAUUUUAAAGACUAAAAGACAAAUACGUAAAAAUGACCAUUUUAAGGUUUUUUUUUUUAUGAUUUAAAAAUAUUAAAAACACAUGCAAUGCAAAUAAACAAAGAAAAAUUCCUAAAAUUAAUAAAAAUUAAUUUUUGGUCUAUUUUUUAGGAGUUAUUCUUAUGUAGGGCAAAAAUCAUGUGCUCACAGCAGCCCCUCUUUGCUCGGAAACACGAAUAGUUUUCGUGCAAAGAUAAAGUGAGCAUAUACGAGCAAUUGUUUGCCCGUUUGAAACUUCAUGAGAAGUAUUUUUAAAAGAUUUGACCGCACUCUGCUUCUGAGGUUGCCUACAUAUCCUUGGUUAUAAAGGAAUCAGGUCAGUGUAGUUUGGGAAGUGAGGUGAUGGAGUACUGAGGUUGAGAUCGGUCGAGGUGCCAUCGAGGUUCCGGUCCGCGGUCCCGUUUAUUGCAUCAAAAUCUAAAUUAAAAAGACUAACUAAGCCUAUAAGCUACGAGUUACAAGAUUCCUAUCUAUAAAUCUUUUGAAACUUGAUCUUGAGUCUUGGCUAGGUCUUGUUGCAGACUCUAAUCUAAAUCUUAAUGCUUGUCAGCUGCAUAUGCUGGUUCUUUCUUCAGCAUUUGGAUCAAAGAGGGACAUGCGAAACUUUUGACUUUGAAUCAAAUUUGAGCAGUCUGCAUUUUCUUCUUCGAACAUCCUGAGUUCGGUUCUUUUUGCUCUUUUGUUAUUUUCCUUUAUUCUGUAUUGAGACUCACGCUUCUGGUCAUCUCGAACCCUGUGCCAUGAGGUAAAACCUGCUCAGACACCAAAAAUAAACAAACGAACGAAAUUUUAUGCCCCAAUUUUUACUAGGAAAAUUUCGUGAGUUAUUUGUAACACAAAUCUAAGCUAUUUCUUUAUUGAAAAAAAUAAAAAUCGGGAUUCUAUAUCCUUUGGAAAGAUUGCCAGGUUAUGUUGGGAAGGAGAAAAGGUCCCUGCUGGGGGUAAGAGGAGCAUCCAUGGGUUAUGCCGGGAUGGGAAUGAAGGGUCCCUACUGGGGAUGAAAGGAAAAAGACACGGGUUAUGUCGGGAUGAAAUGAAAAAAGAUUCCUAGGUUCUGCUAGGGAGAUCCGCGGGUUAUGCCGGGAUGAAUGAAAAAAGUUUCUGGGUUAUGCCAGGGGUCCAUGGGUUAUGCCGGGAGAAGAAGGCUCCUCGGUUAUGCUAAGGGGAUCUGCGAGUUAUGCCGGGAUAGGAAGAAAAAUGGUCUACUAAGGAUAAAAAAAAAAUGAUCCUUGGGUUAUGCCAAGGGGAAGAAAAUAAAAAUACACUCAGGUUAUGCUGGAGAUAAAUGGAAAAUAACCCUCAGGUUAUGCCGUACGGGAAAGAAAAGACCCUCAGGUUAUGCUGGGAGGAAAAGAAAAGACCCUCGGAUGCUAGGGAGAAAAAGGAAAGAUGAUCCUCGGGUUAUGCCGAGGAGGUCCACGGGUUAUACCGGGAUAAAAGGGAAAAGGUCCUAUGCUACCAUGAUUUUGGGUUUUUUUUGAAUUAUCCUAGGGGAAAAUUCGUCAGACUAGGUUUUCUAUCUUAGGAGAAAAAAUUCAUCAGACAAAGAUUUUGACCCUAGGAGAAAGUUCAUCAGACUAGGUCUUUCUUUCUUCUUUUGUUUUUGGUAUCUUAGGAGAAAGAUUUAUCAGACUAAGAUUCUGACCCUAGGAGAAAGUUCAUCAGACUAGGUCUUCUAUCUUAGGACAAAUAUUCAUCAGACUAAGAUUUUGGUCUUAGGAGAAAGUUCAUCAGACUAGGUCACUUUUUUUAUAUAUCUUAGGAGAAAGAUUUAUCAGACUAAAAUUUUGAUCCUAGGAGAAAGAUUCAUCAGACUAGGUCUUCUAUCUUAGGAGAAAAAUUCACUAGACUAAGAUUUUGAUCCUAGGAGAAAGCUCAUCAGACUAGGUCUUCUAUCUUAGGAGAAAAAUUCAUCUGACUAAGAUAUUGAUCCUAGGAGAAUGUUCAUCAGACGAGGUCACUCUUUUGGUAUCAUAGCAGAAAGAUUCAUCAGACUAAGAUUUUGAUCUUAGGAGAAAGUUCAUCAGACUAGGUCUUCUAUCUUAGGAGAAAAAUUCAUUAGACUAAAAUUUUGAUCCUAGGAGAAAGCUCAUCAGACUAGGUCUUCUAUCUUAGGAGAAAAAUUUAUCAGACUAAAAUUUUGAUCAUAGGAGAAUGUUCAUCAAACUAGGUCACUCUUUUGGUAUUUUGGGAGAAAGAUUCAUCAGACUAACAUUUUGAUCCUAGGAGAAAGUUCAUCAGACUAGGUCUUCUAUCUUAGGAUAAAAUUCAUCAGACUAAGAUUUUGAUCCUAGAAGAAAGUUCAUCAGGCUACGUCAUUUUCGGUAUCUUAGAGAAAGAUUCGUCAGACUAAGAUUUUGAAUGGGAGAAAAAUCCAUCAGACUAGGACUUUUUAUCCUAGGAGAAAAAAUAAUGUGAAGAUCAAUGGCAAGAUUUUAUGCCCAUGCAGACAAAUAUAUACCAAGAAUUGAGAAACUUACCUUUGUCGGCUCUACUCUUCUUGUUUUUUUCUUCUCUUUUUUGUUGUUUUUGUUCGUUUUGUUUUUUAUCUUUCUUUCUUCUUUGUUUGUGAACCACUUUCCUUGCGCUGCUUUGUUGCUGCUGCAAACAAAGAACACUUUGUCAGUUUUGAAAAUGGUGGUCGGUUUGUGGCCUUGAGUCUUGAGCAGCUUGGCUUUUGCUUGAUCAGCCUGAGUCGGUCUUAAAAGACCUUUGUUCUACACCAACUCUGAUUGUUUCGCACCCAGUACCAUUUUGUAUUUGAGGCUCAAUCAACCCUGUCGCGAUUGGAGAUCUUAGCUCAGGUGACCUUUUCUGAUAUCUUCAAAAACUUUCUGCUUUUUGAGCAAUUUGUCUGUUAGAGAGAAUCACAAGUUAUCUUUGCUUGCGCCAAGCAGGCUGACAAGAGUCUUUUUGGAAAGCCUUUUCAAAAAUCCUCAAGGUAUGUUGACAGUAACAACUGAGUGCGCUGGCAAAAUUUAAUUUGUGCAACUGAAAAGAUGGUAGCAGAUUUUGAAAUCAUUUCUUGCUCAUUUUGACAAGGGUGGACUUAAAGUGAAGGACACAAUUAUGAAAAGAAACGAAUAUUAAAAAGAAAUUCCCCCUGUCGUCUUUUGAGGAAGCCCUUGCAUGAACCCUCAAGGCAUGCUGACAAUAACAACUGAGUAGUUGGCCAAAUUUACUUUGUGCAACUGAAAACCUGGUAGCAUAUUUUGAAAUAUUUUCUUACUUGUUUUGAUGAGGACAGACUCAGAGUGAAGGACAUAAUGAUGCAAAGAAACGAAUAUUGACAAGAAAUGCCCCCUGUCGAAAGGACAAAAAGAAGCUUUUUUUUUAUUUUUUUCCUUCUUUUUUUUUUCCAUCAUUCUUUUCAAUAACUAGCCUUAAUGAUCAUGACAUACAUUUUGGACUUAACGGCCUGAUCUAUCCAACUAAUCCAAUCUUCCCGUUUACCAUUUUUAUGACCUUUGAAGUCGGGCUUGUUCGUGCCAAUCCUUGCAUCAGUUUCAUGACUUACUUUCGACUAGUGGUGCCCCGAGGAGUUUUCACCAACAAGACUUUCUCAUUUAUUUAUCUCUUCUUAUUGUUGCUUUACAGUGCCCAUGAGGGUUUUCACUAGUAAGACUCUCUUAUUUAUUUUUUUCUUUUUCCUGUGCUUUUUCUUUUUCUUUCCGCUUUUUUUUUUUGGAGAGCAACUUGAUAGUGUUCUAUGUCGCGUGACAUACGUUGCUCAUUGCCUGCGUUUCUUGGCAUUCUUGAAAGCUGAUCAUGAGGUAUUUAUUUGGAAGGUUUUUGGAUGUGGGUAGGAAGAAAGGGUCGGCAUGACGACUCAAAGUUGACUUAAAGUGAAGGGUUGUAGACUUACAACUUUUGGAAUCGUCUCAUCAAAAGUGAAAUAAAUUUUUUUUGCCCCACUUUUAACCAUUGGUGUUUUUGGAACAUUUCUCUCUUUUUUUUUUGUGAAUUCUUAUUUGGUUGGAUCGAAUUGUGAGGCUGCCUACGUAUCCUUUUUUUAAAGGAAUCAGGACUAACGUAGUUCAAACAUCCAACUUAAAGUAUAUUUCAUCUUUCUUUCCGCUUCUCUUUUCAUUUUUCUUUUUCUUUUUUUUUCUUUUUCUUUUUUGAUUUUUUAUUUUUAUUUUUAUUUUUAUUUUUUGCUUGCCCCAGCUUCUUUGUUUUGAGGGCAUGGACCUUUGAUAAUUCUUUCUUUUUGUUUUUCGCUUGGAACCUUCUAAAAGCUGCCCCAGUUUAUACUCUUGGGACAUGGACUUUCUUUCUUUUUUUUUCGUUUCUUUUCAUCUUUUUUUGACUCUUGACUCUAAACGUGAUUCCAAACGAGGGUGAUCAAAGAAAAUAAUACCGGAUUAAAAGGGGUUGCAAAGGAUAUGAAGUGUUUGGAUAACAGAAAAAGGGCCUCCUAGCCUCGACACUGCCAAUCAUAUUAUCUUUCACGACCGCAGCAUUGGUGAACAUGUUUAAUGUCUUGGUGUGUUGUGGCCGAAAGACACUUUUCAUCCCUUAAUGUCAAACUUUCCAAUAAACAUCAAUUGAUUAAAUAUUCUCAAGCCCGAUCUUCACAAUGAAUUGAAGGUGAAUUUUGCUCGACCUUAAUUCCCAAGUAUUUCAAGUCUUUAUUCAUCCUCAAAAGUGCUUCUUUUUUUUUCAGUUAUCCAAUUCCAGAUUAAAUGAGUUUCUAAGAUCUGGCCAAAAUUUCCGGAUGCAUUUCAUGUUAUUAAAACUAGCGCGAAAUAACUAAGAACGGAAUGCCACAAACUUCUCUUUUUUUCAGUUAUCCAAUUCCAAGUUAAAUCAGUUUCUAAGAUCUGGCCAAAAUUUCAGGAUGCAUGUCAUGUUAUUAGAACUAGCGCGGAAAGAACUAAGAACAAAAUGACACAAAAGGACAAACUGAAUUUUAUUGAAUAAGGAUGGAAUGGUAACGACUAAACAAGAAACCUAAGAUGAUCCGAGUUACAACCCUAAAAUAACCCGGAUAAUGAAAAUAGCAAUAAAAUAGACAGACAUGACUCAUACAAAUAAAAUAGAAGGAUAGAAGGGUCUGACUCAAUAAAGAAAAUAAAAUCUAGAUCAGAACCCUGAAAUAACCCAGAUAACAGAAAAACAUCAAAACAAGCUACCAAGAUUACCUCCUAAGACAUGAGGGAAUGACUUUUCAAUUGCUAAGCUUGACAUUGAGCCACAAAUUUGCUCAACGGAAUCACCAUGGCCUCCUCCAAUUUCAGACGGCAGGUUCUCGAGAGGAUUAUCAUACUCGAUGACACCAGACAUCAUCCUCACAAAGUAUGCAUCAUCAUGUGCAGGUAAAGGAUUCUGCAUGAUAUUCUGGGUGUCAUUGUCUUGAAUCACAAUCAGUUUUUCCUGGAUCAUCCUCUCUAUUUCUCUUUUCAAAUCCCGACAAAUUUCAACAUCGUGCCCCAGGGCAUCAGAAUGGUAUUCACACCUUUUAGAAGGGUCAAAGCUUCUUGCACGUGGGUCCACAUGAUUUUGAGAAAUGGGUGCAAUCAUGCCAUAAUGCUUUAGCUUCUCAAAUAAGCUUGCAUAAGACUCUCCUAUUGGUGUAAAAUUAUCCUUCAACCUUUGUUCCCUUCUAUGCCCCUGGGUUGGAUAGUGCAAUCAUGCCAUAAUGCUUUAACUUCUCAAAUAAGCUUGCAUAUGACUCUUCUAUUGGUGUAAAAUUAUAUUUCAACUUUUGUUCCCUUCUAUACCCCUGGCAUGGAUGUGGGUUAUAAGGCAUUUGAAAAUUUUGUGGAGGCUGGUGGAGAUAUUUUGAUCCUCGUGCUCGACUUCUUGGGUGAUUUGGUGCCUAGACAACAUACUGAGGUGGAUCAACAAGGUAUGGUGGGUUCUGAGGUGGAUAGUAAUGCUCAGGGGAGUCAUCGAAAACCUGAUGAGGCUACGCAUACCUUCGAGGUGUUCUCAUGGAACCUCUUCUCGACCCUGUUGUCAUCAUGAUUUCUUCAUCCGUCUCAUUUAUGUCACUUUUAUUCUUUUAUUCUUUUUUGACUUUUUUUCUUUUCUUUUUCUUUUUCAUUUUUUGACUCUUGACUCUAAACUUGAUUCCAAAAGAGGGUGGUCAAAGAAAAUAAUAUAUGUUCAAAGUGGUGACGAAUGGCAUAAAGUGUUUAGGUAGCAGAAAAAGGGCCUCCCAACCUUGAGAACGCCAAACAUAGUAUCUUUUUGCGAUCACAACAUUGAGGAACAUGUCUGUCAUCUUGGUGUGUUGCGGUCAAAAGACACUUUCCAUCCCUUAAUGUCAAACUUUCCAAUAGAUUUCAAUUGAUUAAACAUUCUCAAGCUCGAUCUUCAAAAUGAUUUGAAGGUGGAUUUUACUCGACCUUAAUUCUAAAGUAUUUUAACUCUUUAUUCAUCCUCAAAAGUGUUUUUUGUCUUUUCUUUUUCUGUUAUCCAAUUCCAGAUUAAAUAAGUUUCUACGAUCUUGCCAAAAUUUCCGCAUGCAUGUCAUGUCAUUAGAACUAGCAACAAAAGAACUAGGAAUAGAAUGACACGAAAGGAAAAACUGUAUUUUAUUGAAUAAAGAUGGAAGGUUUGACAAUUAAACAAGAAACCUAAAAUCCGAGUUACAAACCUAAAAUAAACCGAAUAAUAAAAAUAGCAACAAAACAGUCAAACAUGACUCCUACAAACAGAAUAGAAUGACAGAAGGGUUUGACUCAAUAAAAAAAAUAAAAUCUGGAUCACAACCCUGAAAUAACCUAGAUAGAAGAAAAAACAUCAAAACAAGCUAGCUUGAUUCCUUCCUGUAAAGAGAGAAUGACUUUUCAAUUUUUAAGCUUGACAUUUCACCACAAAUUUGCUCAUCAAAAUCACCAUGGCAUUCUCCCAUUUCAGCCGGCAAAUUCCCGAGAGGAUUCUCAUACUCCAUGUCACUACUCAUCACCCUUACAAAGUGUGCAUCAUCAUGUGCAGGUAAAGUACUCUGUGCGAUACUCUGGGUGUCACUGUUUUGGAUCAUAAUCAGGUUUUCUUGGAUCAUCCUUUCUAUUUCUCUUUUCAAAUCCCGAUAAUUUUCAAUAUUGUGCCCCUACGCAUUGGAAUGGUAUUCACACCUUUUGGAAAGGUCAAAGCUUCUUUCAAACAAGCUCGCAUAGGACUCUCCUAUUGGUGUAAAAUUAUCUUUCAACUUUUGUUCCCCUUUAUACCUCUGGCUUGGAUGUGGGUAAUAGGGCAAUUGAAGAUUUUGUGGAGGAUGGAGGAGAUUUUGUUGUACUCGCGCUCGCCUUCUGGGAUGUUAUGGUGGUCAGGCAUCAUAUUGAGGUGCAACAACAGAGUAUUGAGGGUUCUGAGGUGGAUAAUAUUGCUUAGGGGAGUCAUGAAAAACCUGAAGAGGCUGAUCAUAUCUUCGAGAUGUUCUCCUGGGAUCUAUUCUCGACCCUGAUGUCAUCAUGAUUUCUUCAACCUUCUCAUUCGAGUCACCAAAAUUACCAAAAUUAUCUGAUUCAAUCUAGUCAACCUGAGUUGUGGCUUUGAGAACUAGUUGACUUAUAAUUUUGCCUGUCUUAAGACCAUUCUCAACCAUUUCCCCCAUUUCGAGAAGGAUUUACCCACAGCGGAUAUCAUGUUUUGAAAAUAAUCCAGCUCUUGAGCCUGAGGAAAGACAGUGAUUAGCUCGUGGUCAUCCAUGGGUGGCUUAGAUCUAGCUUCUUGCUCUCUCUAUUUAAUAGCGUAUUCCCUGAAACUUUCACUUUGGUUUCUUCUUCAGGUUUGAAAGGGAAUUUCAGUUUGGGGCAAUGUCCAUGUCGUAUUGAAACUGUUUGACAAAGGCCUGCACCAUGCUAUCCUAGACGUACCAGCGAGAUGUGUCCUGAUCCAGAAACUAUUCAGAUAAUACUCCCGUAAGGCUUUCCCCAAAAUAAGUUAUUAGCAAUUCUUCAUUUCUUUCCACACCUCUCAGUUGAUUGCAAUACCUUUUUAGGUGGGACUAUGGGGUCUCCAUGUCUAUCAUACUUUUCAAAUUUGGGAGUCUUGAAACCAGGCGGCAAGUGGACAUCGGGGAACAUACAUAGAUGUUUGAAGGCAACACUAUUUUGACCUGCCAACCCUUACAUGUUUUCAACCGUUGUUCUAAGAUUUUCACUCUUUGGGUCAUUUCUCUAUAUUUCAUCUUUCGGGCAGGCUUCUCGAUGUUUGCAAGAAGAUCAAACGAGUACGAGUGAUAUUCAGGAGAGUGGUACUGCUCUUGCUGUGUUGCAAAUUGUGACUCAUGACAAGGUUCUCUUUGGCCAUUGGCCCAUGAUUGACACAUUUUGGUCAUUUGCUGUUUCAGUAUUCUAUUUUCCUCAACCAUAGUAGACUCUUGUCGAACCCUCUGACCGUGAGUCUCUUGAGCAAUUGUAACAGUCUUGAUGUCAAUUAUCAUUUUUUGUUGUAUCUUGUGUUUCAGCUUACCACAAACCAACCACCUCAAACUUUCUUCACAAUUCAAAACAAAAGAUAUGUUAGAAUGGACUCAGUCAUCCUUACUAUUAUCAAUAAUUUUUUUCCUUUUCUUCAUUUUUUCAUUUUUUUGUUUGGUUGAUCGAAUCUGAUAUGGGUUUCCUACGUGUCAUAUGGGAACAUGAAUCCGAUAUUGCGUAGUUCAGGAAGAUUAGGAAUAAAGGAAAUAAACUAAAUUUAUGUUUUUCUGGAUUUGGAAUUUUCUCUUCUAUUUUUUACUUUUUUUUUCAAAAGAAAGACUUAUAAAGAAGAUAGAGCAUAUUUUUGGAUUUUGAUUUUUCUUCAGUAAUUGCAAAGAAAGACUUCUAAAGAAGAUAUAUUUUUUUUUGAAUUUCGACUUUUUAUUGUUUUUUUUUUAAUUUCGAUAGAAAAAUUUCUAAAGAAGAAGGAAAGAUAUUUUUGCCUUUAUGGAUUUUUAUUCUGAAGUUAGGAAAGAAGUUCUUCGAAAGAAAAAGAAAGUAUUUUUAAAUCAUGAAUUUUCUUUUCAAUUUUCCGAAGAAGAAUAAAAAUAUGUUUUUGCAUUUUUUGAUUUUGAGAAGCAACUAAAAGAAAAAAAAUUUGAAUUUUUUUUUAAAAACUAGAAUCUUAAAGAAAAAUUUUUCUAAAGAAGGAAGUAAAAGAAUUUUUUUGGAUUUUUAAAAAUUGGGGCCGGAACCGAUGAGGUUUGCUUACGUAUCUCACAUCCGGUAAGAAUAAGAUCCGCGUAGUUCUGCCAGUUUUAACGGAACAGGAAAACAUGACACUUGAAAAUUUUGGUUCAUUUUGAAAUGACUUUUUUUUCCAGAUUUGGCAGAGUUUCAACAUAUUUCAAAUACCUACAUCUACUCUUUUCUUUUCUUUUUUCUCUUUUUUUUAAUUUUUUUUUAUUUUCUUUCCCUAUUCUAAUCAACAUGUAAGCCUGAACAGAUAGAUACACAAGUAGCACAUAAGAUGCAUCAGGAUGGUCUUUUAAUUUGGGUACACAUGUCCUAGACGGACCUAACCCAUGUGUUGAGUCCCCAAAGUCAAAUGUACGUGAUGCAAACAAACGUUCCUACAAGGAAUCCGGCAUGAGUCUGAGUUAUUCUAAGUAUAAAACCUGGGUAUACUGCUCUAGACUUGUGCACCCGAGCGGACAACUCGAGCCGAGGAGGGGGCUAUGUACCGGGAACCAAAAGGCUAUCCGGCUUAGUAACUUUUCUGAGCCUCUUUCUUAUUUCAAGUUAUGACACUAACAGAAUAAGGAGUCUCGACCAGCAAGCACAUCCCCAAAGAUGAGAAGAGAAGGAUUUCGUAGCAUUUUAUAUAUAGUUCAGAUAACAUUAAGGCGGUAAAAGCAUCAUUUAGCACAUCAGGCUCAAACAUGUAGGAAAAUCAUAUAAUAAAUAAAGCCAAUCAUAACAGCUAUUCUAAGCUCAAAUUCUUAAACUCUGAAUCGAAGUUUAGGGUUUGGAUCCCCAGCAGAGUCACUAGAGCUGUCACACCUCCUUUUUUCUACACCCUAGAAGGGGAGAUAAAGGAGUUUAUUCCAAUUUAAAGUGACAAAAAACAGAAUUAUUUUAUUUAAAAUUCAGAGUUGCCACUUGGAUAAUUUAUGGUUUCCCUGUCACCGGUAUAAAUCCCGAAUCGAAAAAAGAUUGACUUUGUUUUAUAGUCCGCGAACAUAGAAAUUUGGGUAAAGAAUUCUGUUAAGCGGUAGAAGGUGUUAGGCAUUCCCGGAUUCCGUGGUUCUAGCACGGUCCCUCAACUGUUAUAUUUGGCUUAAUUACCUUGAUUUUAAUACAUUUUAAACCUAUGUAAAAUUUUUAACUUUAUAACCGCUUUUAUUUAUUUUAAGGAAGAUUGCAACGUCAUUUAAAAUACGUUUUGAACCACGUCACAUAAAUGCACCCGCGGUCCCCGACAUAUUUUAUCUAACGUUGUUGAGAUUUGGAUUUGGAUCACAUAAAUGUGCACCCGAGUUUAGGAAGGUGAAUUGUUUAACUAAUGCGCCUAAAGCAAUUACGCGUUUUUUUUAAUUUUGUGAAGGCCAUGGAAGAUUCAACUAAAUGGCACAUCUCGAUUUCUAAAGGAUUAAAAUUAAUUAAACGAGGGCCAUGGGUUUUGAUAUUUUGUUUGGCAUGGUGCUCCUUAAAUUAUUUCAAAGGAUUUGAUUCUUCGAAAUUAUUAUGAUCGGGUUACAUAAAAUGCACCCCCGAAUUGGAUUCACGUAUCGUAACCAUGCCACGGAAACUGUACCCAUGACCAUGAUAAUUGAUUGAAUUAUACUAAUGAAAUAUAAAUAAGGAGUAGUUACAUAUAAUCAGAAUCAUGUCAUUGCUAACGAUUAUUGAAAUACUAAUGACAUCUAAUAAAAAGUAGUUUACAUAUAAUCAAAUCUCAUAGUUGUCCAGACAUGUUCGAAUAGAUUCAUUUAUACUAAUGACAUCUAAAUACAAAUGAUUUACAACCAGAAAGAAAUAGGCACGAAGAGAAAUCGAGGGAUUAAUUGCUGGCCCUCACAAUUUUGGAAUUGAAAAAUACUUGAUUCACAAUGGCGGAUACAUGUUGUCACAUGGGUUCUUAGCUUUUGAAAACAAGAUUACUACUUAUAUAUAACACACAAAAAGCCAAUUUAAUCAAGAUCUUAUCAGAUUUAUAUUAAGGUUUAAAUUUACACAAAAUACAAAGAUAGCAUUGUUCUACGUAGAACACAAUGGCAGGCCCAAGUAUACUAUCACAUUUAUAGCUUAUGAAUAAACCUCAACUUCAACAACAAUUGUAUUAAACAAUUAGUUUUUCCCUUCUCUUAGCUUCAAAGAUCAACAGCAUAGAGACGUUUGAAAAAACUUAAACAAAAAAAUGCUAGAUCUAUAAAAAAACAAUACAACAACUUACAUCUCAUUCAUGAUUUCUAUUUAAGACAAAGGGUAUAAGUGGACAUACCUAAACAGCAACAAAUAAAUCCUCAAUCUGAAAAGAAGAUGAUGAAACCCAGCUACAAAUGAAGCAAAAUUAGCAGGAGAAACAGCAACAGUCCUCAACUCAGCUUUUGAACGAACUAUUCUCGAAAUGACCUCAACUCGACCAAAUGCAAUCCAUUUUUGUAAAAGAAAAUCAAACAUCAAGAUGAACGAUGAAGAACAAAGAUAUCUUUGUCCCUAUAUUUCGUUUGAAACUUAAAUAAAAUUGGAGCGGCAGAUCGAAGCUUCUUUUUAUUUUCCUAAGAGAGGGAUCAGGUGGGGCUGUUGGUUGUUGAGGUUUCCUAGAGGGGAAAGGUUCUGUUCUUCUUUUGCGAUUUUUGACCGAGAAGAAGAUGGGAGCGCCCCCUUUUUUUUGUUCUUCAGAGAAGGGGAGGGUCUAUCUUAUUCUCCUUUUUUUUUCUCUAGGCCUAAAUCUAGGUUUUAAUAUAAAG